GCCAACGUAGCUCAGUGGUAGAGCGUUUGCAUCAUAAGCAAAUUGUCGGAGGUCCGAUCCCUCCCGUUGGCA
rnacentral:tRNA from 1 species